AUUGAACGCUGGCGGCAGGCCUAACACAUGCCAGUCGAGCGGAUGAAGGGAGCUUGCUCCUGGAUUCAGCGGCGGACGGGUGAGUAAUGCCUAGGAAUCUGCCUGGUAGUGGGGGAUAACGUCCGGAAACGGGCGCUAAUACCGCAUACGUCCUGAGGGAGAAAGUGGGGGAUCUUCGGACCUCACGCUCUCAGAUGAGCCUAGGUCGGAUUAGCUAGUUGGUGGGGUAAGGGCCUACCAAGGCGACGAUCCGUAACUGGUCUGAGAGGAUGAUCAGUCACACUGGAACUGAGACACGGUCCAGACUCCUACGGGAGGCAGCAGUGGGGAAUAUUGGACAAUGGGCGAAAGCCUGAUCCAGCCAUGCCGCGUGUGUGAAGAAGGUCUUCGGAUUGUAAAGCACUUUAAGUUGGGAGGAAGGGCAGUAAGUUAAUACCUUGCUGUUUUGACGUUACCAACAGAAUAAGCACCGGCUAACUUCGUG
rnacentral:rRNA from 1 species